GUAGGCGAUUCUCAAUAUUUUUGUGCCUCCUCAUACGGAGAUCCCUUAUAGAGCUCAGUGCCGUCUGUGCUGGUCAAGCGGUAAGAUCAAAACGGAAAAAAUUUGUAUAAUUAUUUGUAUUACUUUUUUGUUUUUUUAGUUACUAAAAAUGGGAAUCAUCAGGAUUAAAGGAUUGGAGCGAGUUUGUUGAACGCAUCCUCCAGUUCAUGAAUAUCAUCUGCUUCAUCUUCUGAGGUUCCUUCCUCCACCUAAACCACGAACUGCUCGUCCGACUUUUUGAACUCCUGCGAAUUCGUGAACUCCUGCCCGCCUGUGCUUCUCCACGUUCUGCAUUAGUGGUGGCACACCAUUCCCAUCGAAUGGCAUUGCCAUCAAGCCACACGGAUAUGCUGCUGAUAGCGUUUGUAGAUAGUCCCAGGUAUUUUUUACCAUUCCCAUUAUUGUUUCGAAAUAACUUGCUUCUGGAUGGGGAAUAAAAUAGUCGACAAUUCGGCUUAUUAUUCAAAUUUUUAGUAAUUUGCUGAUUCACAAUACAUUGUUGAAAAUGCGGGCCCUGACUUAGGGUUGCAAUAAAAUUCAGGUAUGUAA
rnacentral:lncRNA from 1 species